rnacentral:rRNA from 1 species
CGGACGGGUGAGUAACACGUAGAUAACCUGCCCUGCAGUGGGGAAUAACAGCCCGAAAGGGUUGCUAAUACCGCAUAAGCUCACAAUUGUUAGGUUGUGAGGAAACCCCUUGGGUAACCAGGGGGGCUAAAGGAGGGGUCUGCGGCGGAUUAGCUAGAUGGUGGGGUAAAGGCCUACCAUGGCGACGAUCCGUAGCUGGUCUGAGAGGACGGCCAGCCACACUGGGACUGAGAUACGGCCCAG